rnacentral:rRNA from 1 species
GUGGGGAAUCUUCCGCAAUGGACGAAAGUCUGACGGAGCAACGCCGCGUGAGUGAUGAAGGUCUUCGGAUUGUAAAGCUCUGUUAAUCGGGACGAAAGAGCCUAGUGUGAAUAAUGCUAGGAAGUGACGGUACCGGAAUAGAAAGCCACGGCUAACUACGUGCCAGCAGCCGCGGUAAUACGUAGGUGGCAAGCGUUGUCCGGAAUUAUUGGGCGUAAAGCGCGCGCAGGCGGAUCUGCCAGUGUGUCCUAAAAGUUCGGGGCUUAACCCCGUGAUGGUAUGGAAACUACAUAUCUAGAGUAUCGGAGAGGAAAGUGGAAUUCCUAGUGUAGCGGUGAAAUGCGUAGAUAUUAGGAAGAACACCAGUGGCGAAGGCGACUUUCUGGACGAAAACUGACGCUGAGGCGCGAAAGCCAGGGGAGCGAACGGGAUUAGAAACCCUGGUAGUCC